rnacentral:rRNA from 1 species
UACGUAGGGCGCAAGCGUUGUCCGGAAUUAUUGGGCGUAAAGAGCUCGUAGGCGGUCUGUCGCGUCCGUUGUGAAAACUCGAGGCUCAACCUCGGGCUUGCAGUGGAUACGGGCAGACUAGAGUGCGGUAGGGGAGACUGGAAUUCCUGGUGUAGCGGUGGAAUGCGCAGAUAUCAGGAGGAACACCUGAGGUGAAGACGGGUUGCUGGGCCGACACUGACGCUGAGUGCGCGAAAGCCAGGGGAGCAAACGGG